rnacentral:lncRNA from 13 species
GAGAAGGAGUAGGGAGGUAUGGAGGAUUCCUGGUGGGGUACAAGCCCCCGCCGCUUACCGCAGAGACCUGCCUAGUCUUCCACCAUCACGUGGAAACCACCACGGCUUCUCCAAAGAAACUCGCUCUGAUCACGCUGCCGCCGCCGCCACCUCCGCCUCCACUGACUUGCCUCUGGCCGGGGUGGGCCAGGGUCAACGCCCUCUCCACUGACUUCACUCCGGCUGGGGAGGGCCGGGCCACCGCCACCGCCUAGGCUGACUUCCCUCUGGCCGGGCUGGGGGCCCGCCAUUGCAGCCGCUGACUUCCCUCCGGCCAGCUUGGGCCGGGCCGCCGUCGUCUUCGCUGACUUCCCUCUGGCUGGGCUGGGGCCACCGUGGCCGCCACUGACUUCCCUGUAGUCGGGCUGUGCUGGGCCGGGGCGCAGCCGCCACCUCCGCUGACUUCUCGCUGGCCGGGCAGGACCAGGGCCACCGCCGCCUACUUCUCAAGGAAGGGCCGCCGCCGCUGCCAACGACGACGACGACUUCUCAAGGGCCACCACCGCUGCCAUCGCCGCCGAUUUCUCCCUGGCAGGCUGUGUGGGCUUCCGCAGGGGCUCCCACGGUGACAGGCACUUGCCUCAAGGCUGAAGCACCACACCGUCUUAAAGGGGCGGCAGCUCAGCCUGGCUAGAAUAGCUUCGGGUUGGAUGAGAACAAGUUUUAGGUUAGCCAAUCAAACCAUAGAAAUAAAGCCCAAUUAGAGAAGACCUUGAAGUUUGCUCUCAUCCAAUCCGAACAUGUAUUCUAGGAACCCCAUAUAUAAAGGAUGAGAAGUGGGAGUCUCACCAUUUCAGACGCCGGGAGCCCACCUUUUCAUACGUGGGCCCACCUGCUCCGAGCUGGCUUCAAGGAGAAGUGGGAGUAGCCGGCCACCGCCCAUGUUGAAGGCUAGAGUCUGCCAUAUCCGCUGGGCUCGCCUCGCUGUUGCGGUUGGUGGCACUGACGGAGACAGCGCAGCUAGAAAGGACACACUUGACCCAAAGCCUGUCUUCAAGAAUGUAACUGGAAAACUCAUACAAGUGGGGUCUUACUCUGUCACUCAAGCUGGAGUGCAGUGGCAUGAUCAUGGCUCACUGCACACUUGAACUCCUGAGCUCAAAGUGAUGCUCCUCCCUCAGUCUCCAAAGCAACUGGGACAACAGGUACACACCAUCAUGCCUAGUGUAUUAGUCUGUUCUCAUAUUGCUAAUAUAGACAUACCCAAGACUGGGUAACUUUUAAAGGAGAGACGUUUAAUUGACUCACAGUCCCCAUGGCUGGGGAGGCCUCACAAUCAUGGCAGAAGGCAAAAGAGGAGCAAAGUUACAUCUUACAAGGUGGCAGGCAAGAGAGCUUGUGCAGGGGAACUCCCCUUUAUAAAACCAUCUGAUUUUCUGAGACUUAUUCACUGCCACGAGAACAGCAUGGGAAAGACCCACCCCCAUGGUUCAGUUACCUCCCAUUGGGCCCCUCCCAUAACGUGGGAAUUAUGGAAGCCACAAUUCAAGAUGAGAUUUGGGUGGGGUGGGGAUACAGUCAAACCACAUCACCUAGCUAGAUUUUUAAUUAUUUUUUUUUUGUAGAGAUGAGAUCUCACUAUGCUCCCCAACCUGGUCUUGAAUCUCUGGUCUAAGGCAAUCCCCCCAUCCUCUGCUCUCGAAGUGCUGGAAUUGUAGGCAUGAGCCACUGUGCCUAGCCAAAGGCAUUGAUUUUAAUGUUGCUGUUGGAUGUUUCUGCUAAAGAUGCUGUCACUAAGAAUAUUGUGGCCAUGGCUACUGUUGCAGAGGCUACUGUUCCUAAGAAUAUUGGUGCUUAGGUUGUUGCUAAGGAAAGAGUGUUGAAUUUAAGAAAAUUGUUGUUAUGGGCCAUUUUCCUAGGGUCAUUGUUCUUAAAGACCUUGACAGUAAGAGUGUUGAAAAAAUUACCUUAGGACAUUUUGUAAGGACACUGUGCUAAAGGUAUCAUUAGAAUGGUUACCUCUAAUGGUUUUGAUGUUAAGGGCCCUGAUGCUAAAAACACAUUUAGGUAAUUUUUACUAAAACUCAUUAUUGCUAAGAAUGUUGAUGUUAGGUACAUUAUUGCAAGGCACUUUUACAAAGUAUCUUG